UACGCUUCUCGGCCUUCUGGCUAAGACCAAGUGUAGUAUCUGUUCUUAUUGUGUGUGUUGUUUUGGCAAAUGAGUGUCAACUGAAAGCUGAACAUUUUUGGCAUUGUAUUCUAAGACCCUGGAUCUUAUUUAAACCCUCU
rnacentral:snRNA from 1 species